UUAUCUCCUAAAAAACCAGUCGAUCCCCUUCGUCUUCGCACGUGUAUCGCUAUGGCUCCGUCCAAGUGCGACCACCAUGGUCUGCUUCUCAAGCUUCACAUGCUGUUGUUCAAGAUCCACAGCGUUGUGACGCGGUGAUUUUUUUUGACGAAACAGCCGGCGCUGCAACACAGCCUCGUUGUUGACUUGAUUGCUGCCCACGCUGCGACUCGACGGUGCUGCCGGUGUUGCUAUGCGACGCUCGUUGACGCCGGUGCUUCGACGCGGCGUUCGCCGGCGCUGCAACGCAGCACACGGGAGGAGAGGUUGAGCUGCUCGCGCGGCUCUGUUGCAACGCAGCACGAAGGCCGGAGUCGGGCGCCGCUCGCCGCCGGUGAUGCAACGCAGCACACAAGGAGGAGGCUCGGCUGCUCGCGUCGAUGUUGCCCUGGAAGCUUUUGUCGCGCCGCGGGAGCUGCAAUGGAGCGCCGCCCGGGCUGCGAUGGAGCCGCCGCGGAGCUCCAUUGAAGCUUCGCCGGAGUUGAUGAAGCGCCGCCCGGGCUGCGAUGGAGUCGCCGCGGAGCUCCAUUGAAGCUUCGCCGGAGUUGAUGAAGCACUGUCGGAGCUAAAACGAAGAGAAGCCGGAGCUACAAUGAAGCGCAGCAGGGGGUCGUUGAAGCUUCGCCAGAGUCAAUGAUGCACCGCCGGAGUUGCAAUGAAGCGUCGCCGAAGCUGCAAUGAAGCGCAGCGGGGGGUCGUUGAAGCUUCGCCGGAGUCGAUGAAGCACCGCCGGAGUUGCAACGAAGCAUUGCCGGAGCUGCAAUGAAGCGCAGUGGGGGGUCGUCGAAGCUUCGCCGGAGUCGAUGAAGCACCACCGAAGCUGCAACGAAGGGUCAUCGGAGCUGCAAUGAAGCAUUGAGGGGUCGUUGAAGCUCCACCGGAGAUGCAAUGGAGCGUCGCCCUCGCCGGUGAUGCAAUGGAGCGCCGCCGGACGCCGAAGGUGCUGCCACGGGAGCUGCGAGCGGUGAACGGGUGUUGCACUGGAGAGACGAGGAUUCAAUUUUCUAUUGGGCUGUGCACGUGGCCUAGCUGGCACAACGGACGGCUGCGCAAAGCCUCAUCUAACGGCUCACGAGGAGGUUUAAAAUUGGCUAGCGUCAGCCGGAUGAUUUGUAGCAGCGCCCAUGUUAAUUUGCCAGAUAACUCUCUCCCAAUUAAACCCAUUAACAGUGGCACAAAGGGCGCACUCUGGGGUCAUCCACGUGGCAAACCGUGAAGGGCAGGAAAAACAAAGACGUUGUCCAGUUGGAUUUGGAGGGUUGGCUUCCUUGCUGCCUAAUCACUGGUCGUUUCCUUCGUCCAGAAGGAAGAGGUCAUCAGGUAUGCCCGCCCGGCCGCCCCGCUCCAACCCACUUCGCUUCCCCACGCACGUCACCUCCUUUCUCUCCUCUUAAACCCACUCGUGGUGGGGUGGGCGUCGCUGCCGCUCCCUCUCUUCUUGAGCCUCCUGCCCCCCUCCCUCUCCUGUGCUCUCUCUUUCCGUUGCCGUCGGGUCCGUGCCCCUGCCGCCACCGCGUGCGCGUGGAUGCCGGUGACGAGGAUCAUUGGGAGGCUGCCGCCGCCAUGAAGUCUCACAGGAUCCAGCUGUGCUCGUCGUCUCCAUGGAGGUCAAAGGAGGAGGAAGGGGAGGCGCUUCUCCGGCCAGAUCCGUGACCCCCACGUCGCCAUCGACGUCCACCCUCCUUGACAUGAUCGAUCGAGCAGACGUCGCUGAGCUCCACGGCUUCCUCGUCUCCCUCUCGCCAGAUGGUAUCAAGUUCAUCUUCAUCCUACAGAUGGAUCCAACAAGUUCACGUGAGUGAUGCCCCUGUUCUUCUCUUGGGUGGUGUUCUUGCUCUGCUUUUGGGCAUUCUUGUUUCUAAUUUGGUGUUGGUGCAGCAGCUCCACACACAUAAGAGCUAGGUGCAUACUCUUAGAGCUCUUCUUUUGAAUCUAUUCAUUCUCGAAAAUUGCUUAAGCCUUGACUUGACAAUAUCUCCAACAUGAACGUUUGGAGCUUUCUUAGCAUUUUGAAGCCAAUGGUGCUCUGCGAAAUAAAAGUUGAUGUCAUGAAAUUACUUACACGGACGUAUAACAAACCAGGGGAAAACAGAUGAAUAAGAAUUCAGAAAUACUGGCAAAAAGACAAGAUGCUUAAGAAGCGAUACCACACUCGAAAAGAAUACGAGUUAACGUAACUUCAAGUUACAAAGCAGACCACAAUUUUGACCCUAACAUUCUUUCAGGUUGUAACACAAAUAAUAAAAUGCCCGAGCUCAUCCGAAUGACUGAAAUUUGUCUAUGUUUUGAGUAACAAGUGCACUUAGGUGAAGAAGUUUCUGAUCUCAAAACUCUGAAUUCUGAAAUAACAGAGCUGAUUAAGCACAAGUUUUAAGAUGGAGAAUUUCAGAUGCUCUUCUGUUCAAGUUUAUGCUUAUAGAUUCUGCGAUGCAGAAAACUAUCUGACACAAAAAAACAAAAAAACUGUAAUGCGUGCUUCAGAUAGGCAGAUAAAAUCAACACACAGACUUCAGGGUUGGUUACCAAGUCUGUGUGGCAAACAAGUCUGUAUGUAUGAAGUAACUUGGAACUCAAAGUACUUCAUAUCAGCUGCACUUCUCCUUUUUCUUGUUUGCUUAGGUGUUUGGAAUCUCGAUUCAUCGAUUUGGAUGGCAGUAACCCUCAAAGCUCGUCUCUCAGUCCUUACUAGGAAAUUCCAGUUUGGUUUCCUUAUGAUCUUUUACUCCUCUGAAUUUUCUCUUUUGCUUGUUGGUUCCCAAGUUCCUCUUCCACCGUUGCUCUGAUAGGCCGAUUUCCGCAGCGCCGCAACGUAGUACAGAGGUUGUGCACCCAGUAUCCCCUUGUUUUUCAUGCUCAAAUUAAAUUGUAUAAAUGCUGAGGGGAGGACAUUUAUGUUUGAGAGAGAGGGAUGGAAAAGUGGGGAUGGAGUAAGAGAAGAGGAAGGAACACGUAUGCUGCAGUUCGAGCCCCGUCUUCUAUGCUUCUGCUCACUGUGCCAACAUCCUCAUGGAAGGUCCAAAUCGCUGAGAUGCUUAUUUUCUUAGCUCAGAGUGUCCUCUUAGAAGCGCGGGUGUCGACCCCUAUCCACAGAAGUUCAAGGUUGCGAUCUCCAUCACGGACUAUGUGGCCAAGUACAAUAGCUUGGGUGCAGGCAGACAUUUGCUGACCGCCGGUGAAAGCUUGGCUGGUAUUGAUUAUUUCUAUUUGAAAGUAACUGUAGUUAGCACUGGCAAAAUAUAUCUGUGUUACAGGAAGAAAAAUGACUGACAAAAUUUAUACUAGCAUACAAGGUAUAUUGGCCAUCUGAAGGAAAGAAAGCUCAAGGACCAGAUGGCAAAAGACCCAGCUAAAGUGGUCUGUAAAGCUGUCAUGCGCAUGAUUCCCCGCAAUAAAUUGCGUGAUGUAAGUGAACAAUUGUUCUAAAUGAAAUCUGUUUGUUUGUUUGUUUGUUGCUAUUUCAAGUCCUGCCUAAUCUAUAAUGGUACUUGUGUGUGUGUGUGUGUGUGUGAGAGAGAGAGAGAGAGAGAGAUGAACUACCCCUUACUUCAGCAUCCGCCCGACCGCAACGAAUCGGCUCCUUCCUGCCACCACCAGGUACUCCUCUCUCCUUGAUGCUACUGUCGUGCUCGCCCCUACUGAUGUUCUUUGCAUUUCUUCUUAUAUUGUGCCUUCUUUCUUUUGUUUUCUCAUGCUGCCAAUGGUGAGAGGUCCUGUGAGCAGCAAGACAGUGAAGAGGGGAUAUUUUUCUGCAGCCUCUGUGAAGUCAAGGUAUCUUUCUUUCAUCUGUUUCUUUUUAUGCAAGUAAUUUGGUGUUGCAAUUUUUAUGUAACCUCGUGCCUGGACCUGCUCAGGAUGUUGUGAUGGUUUAUUUGGUGGUCAUCUAUGUUCACUGUUAUUUGUUGAUAUGGGGGAGGUGGGCAGAAGAAUCUUAAUUCUUGUUAGGAUUACACCUAUUAGUUGCAGUUCAUAAGCUAUGUUGACCUGACUAAUGAUUUUUUUCUUUAAUUAUUUUCUUCUAUGAACCUGAAUGAUAGCAAGAAAUAAAGCCUCUGUUAGGCGAAGUUGAUUAUGUUGUAGUACACACUGAGUGCCUCCAUAAGAAUCUAGAUAAAAUGCCAUAAAAGGUGAGAUUAGGCAUAGUCUUGAUAUAGUUUUGUUAAAAGAUUUCCAUUGAUUUUCUGGUUUGGAUAUACUUAUGAUUGUUUUCUUCUAACUGCAUCUUAAUAUAUGCUUUCGUAGACUGUUCAUGAUGAAAUGAUGUAUAUGAAUGUGUGUGACUGAGCUUCCACUUCCAGAAAAUGCACACGUACAACAACAUGUUUGUUAUGGUGCAACUUUAGCUGCACUUGCUAUGCCUACUCCUUGCCCUUUUUUCCCCAAGUAAGGAUAUGCAGGCCUAUUUUCUUCUCUAAUUAGUACCUAUAUCUCACAUACAUUUUGUUUCCUAACAUAUGUCCAAAGGAGUCUACUUCGAUGAAUAGUCUUUGAUGUGCUCGUAGUUCACUGUUUUAAGAUUAAAACAAGCUACUUUUAUUCUUCAUCACGCCUAAGCAUAAAGAUAUUGUUGGAGUUGCUUAAUACAUGAAGUAGCAAUGAUUCCUAUAUCCUGACAGUGAAAAGAUGCCCAUGGAGAGUAAGGGUUUAGAAACUAUAGAAGAUCUGAACAUGAAGCUUAAUGUGCUAAAAUUUGGAUUAGUUAGUCCCUCAACUUCUAGAGUGUACAAAAUAUCCGACUAUCACUUCUCAGUGAUGCUACCAAAAAUUGAAGCUAAGAUAUCAAUUGAUGCCAUUUUAUCAUGCAUGUACUGAAUAUGUACAUUCAGUCAAUGAAUGAUGGUUGCAAUGAUUGGUUUGUGUACUUUUUAUUCAGAUCAAUGCAUAGGCCACGCGCUGAGUAAUCUAACCUCUGAAAGUUAUGUGUGAAGUUAAAAAGUGUGCAACAACAUAUUGGUUUGUUUUUUCUUUUCCAGUGGGUUUAUGUCUUCAUCGUGCUUCCCAACAUUUCUUUUUGGUUACUUUCAACUGGUUAAUUAUUUUGCAAAAUGGUCAUUUCUGGUUCCCCGAAAUGAUUAGAGUUAGUGGGAGGAUGGCAAGAGAUCAACAAGCAUGGGCAGUUACGAAUCUGAACAUUAUAUGUGUCAGUCGUAGUUUUGGUUUAUAUCUUGAUUAAAAAAUCUAUUGUUACUUUUUGGUUGUGUACUCCAUUACUUAUAUAUCAUGUGCAUGCUAGGUAUCUUGCCUUUCAGGUUCAGCGCGUCACUAGACAUCAGUUGGUGCUCCCAGUGUGAAGUGAGAAGUGGAGAGUGCAGCUAGCUGUAGCAUGCAUAUGGGUGUGCAUGUUAAACGAGUAAUGAACUCUGUACGACUUAGAUAUGUGCUGCUAUGCAAUAUAUGCUCUCUCGAACCAUACCUGUCUACAAUCUUUUUUUGUGUGGGUUAUCUACAAGGGCGACGCUACGCGUCCGCCGACUGAUUUUCUGAUUUUAUCCGCCGCCUCGACGACCGUUGGAUGCCCGACGUGAUAGCCGCCCGAUCUACUGUCCGCGCCCCGCAUGCCCACUAGUUAUUUCCCACAACAAUCGCUCUGUUGCAGAAACAUUAACACUUUUGCUCCUAGCCCCCGAUAGAUCUGCGCCCCGCACGGUUUCGCAACAAGAGCAUUUCCUGCAACAAUGCUCUUGUUGCAAGAUCUGAUCUUCUUUGAUUUCCUGCAACAAUGCUUUUGUUUUCUGAAGCUCCAUCUAGCAAAUUCCAUCAACAAUCUUCGAUGAGCUCUUGUUUCUGAAAAAACUAGCUAUGAUCCACUCUGAAUCAUGAACACAUGCGUGAAAAAACAAUAGCUCUGUUUCGGAAACAGUAGCUCUGAUUCAGAAACAAUAGCUCAGUUUCAGAAACGGCUCCGGCGACUCCGGCGAAGCUGCGACAACGACGGAGCGGGAGGCGGGGCCGCUGUUGUGCUUCUCAAUUGCGCUUGAAGCAACGAUAAAUGUAGAAGCAGAAGCGGCAUCCGGAGUUGCAGCAAGCUUGGUUGAGUGCGGGGGCAGCGGGUACACGAGAGAGAGAGCAGAGGAAGAGAUGAGGAUGAAAAUUCUCGGUGGAGAGGAUGGAUAAGGUUGGGACAUGGGGAGUGAGACGGGACCACUAGGGCACGUGGCGUGUCAAACAACAUUGUUACGUGCAUGACAAGGAGGUAGCCGCACCAGAUCAUCUUAGGUAGUUGGUAGAUUUGGUUAGCUAGGAUCUAUCCUUAUCUUCCUUUUGUAAUCUUAUCUCUACCUAGCUUCCUCUCCAAGAUGUAAUCUAAACUGUAUGCGCUAUCAGGAGGUGCGCCCCUGCCUAUAAACACGUACGGCGUCCCCUCGAGUAGAGGUACGACGCUUUCCGCCAUCGCACAUGGUAAUCAGAGCCCUUCUCUUCCACGUCUAAACCCUAGAACUCCAUCCAGUGCAACUAUGUCGUCUUCCUCUUCCUCCGGUGCCUCCCAGGCUGGUCCCAAUGGCCAAGUCACGGAGAGGCUCUCCCGCACCAACUACGUCCUCUGGCGCGCGCAGAUCAUGCCGCAGCUGAGGGGCGCGGGUGUCUUCGGCUACGUCGACGGCACGACACCGGAGCCGGCCAAGAUCCUCCACACCAAGG